rnacentral:rRNA from 1 species
AACGAACGCUGGCGGCAGGCUUAACACAUGCAAGUCGAACGCCCCGCAAGGGGAGUGGCAGACGGGUGAGUAACGCGUGGGAACAUACCCUUUCCUGCGGAGUAGCUCUGGGAAACUGGAAUUAAUACCGCAUACGCACUACGGGGGAAAGAUUUAUCGGGGAAGGAUUGGCCCGCGUUGGAUUAGCUAGUUGGUGGGGUAAAGGCCUACCAAGGCGACGAUCCAUAGCUGGUCUGAGAGGAUGAUCAGCCACAUUGGGACUGAGACACGGCCCAAACUCCUACGGGAGGCAGCAGUGGGGAAUAUUGGACAAUGGGCGCAAGCCUGAUCCAGCCAUGCCGCGUGAGUGAUGAAGGCCUUAGGGUUGUAAAGCUCUUUCACCGAUGAAGAUAAUGACGGUAGUCGGAGAAGAAGCCCCGGCUAACUUCGUGCCAGCAGCCGCCGUAACAC